UGUCAUUACCCAGUGUAAUACCUUUGAUAUUCAGCAGUAUGCUUCCAUUGCUUCUGCAGAAUAUCAAAGGUAUUACGAUGGGUAAUGCA